rnacentral:rRNA from 1 species
UACGUAGGGUCCGAGCGUUGUCCGGAAUUACUGGGCGUAAAGAGCUCGUAGGUGGUUUGUCGCGUUGUUCGUGAAAACUCACAGCUCAACUGUGGGCGUGCGGGCGAUACGGGCAGACUGGAGUACUGAAGGGGAGACUGGAAUUCCUGGUGUAGCGGUGGAAUGCGCAGAUAUCAGGAGGAACACCGGUGGCGAAGGCGGGUCUCUGGGCAGUAACUGACGCUGAGGAGCGAAAGCGUGGGGAGCGAACAGG